rnacentral:tRNA from 1 species
UAUCCUAUAGUUUAAUGGUAAAACAAUAUACUUCUAAUAUUUUAAUAUAGGUUCAAUUCCUAUUAGGAUAU